GGCCCCAUCGUCUAGCGGUUAGGACACUGGCCUCUCACGCCGGUAACACGAGUUCAAAUCUCGUUGGGGUCGCAA
rnacentral:tRNA from 1 species